rnacentral:rRNA from 1 species
UACGUAGGCAGCGAGCGUUGUUCGGAAUUACUGGGCGUAAAGAGUGUGUAGGCGGUGCUCUAAGUUCGGUGUGAAAUCUCCCGGCUUAACUGGGAGGGUGCGCCGGAAACUGGAGUGCUCGAACGUGGGAGAGGAAAGCGGAAUUCCUGGUGUAGCGGUGAAAUGCGUAGAUAUCAGGAGGAACACCUGCGGUGUAGACGGCUUUCUGGACCAUUGUUGACGCUGAGACACGAAAGCGUGGGGUAGCAAACAGG